GGUUACCUACGGGACGCAGCAGUAGGGAAUCUUCCACAAUGGGCGAAAGCCUGAUGGAGCAACGCCGCGUGGGUGAAGAAGGUCUUCGGAUCGUAAAACCCUGUUGUUAGAGAAGAAAGUGCGUGAGAGUAACUGUUCACGUUUCGACGGUAUCUAACCAGAAAGCCACGGCUAACUACGUGCCAGCAGCCGCGGUAAUACGUAGGUGGCAAGCGUUAUCCGGAUUUAAUGGGCGUAA
rnacentral:rRNA from 1 species